AGGGGGAAUAUGGGGGAAAAGCAAUGAUUUCCAGCAAUUCAGAACUGCAGGCUUUGAACCAUUUGGCACGUUUGUGGCAGGGUGAGAGAUGGCAUUUCCGAAUCAUCAGCUUCUGAAAGGCAAACUGAGUGCAGCCUGCCUGCGAAAAUCUGGACUGAAGGAAGAGUUUGGCCACAUAAGGAAUGGUUUCAGUAUUAGUGAGAGCUGCUGAGAAACAAACAAGUUUAUAUUUGAUAUGAUUCCAUAUUAACAGAGGCUGACCUUAUCCGAGGGCAGCCUUAAAAGGGAAGUCUGUUCGGUCCAAGGCUUGAGAGUAAACAGACAAGUGGUCCUUAUGUAAGUAGUAAUAAGCGUUUACAACAUUGUUCAGAUAUCUUCAUUGUUCUUAGCUGUACUUUUGCAAUACUUUUUUGUUGUUGUUGUUGUUUAAUUUCCUUUCUCUACUGUAAUCUUAAUGCAGUCAUAAUGGAUUUGAUUAAAUGUUGUUGCUCUUUCUUGGCUUAUUACAAACUGCUGGCAAACAAUCGCAAGCUCAAACAUGCUCCUGCAAAAUCGGCUGUUUAAUAGCACCAAAUAACAAACAUGUUUUUGGUGAAGAAUUUGUGAACUGAACAAAGGGAUGCAUCUCCUCAGUGUGCUAAAUGAACACACUGCCUGCAGUUAGCAGCACAACAGAUAGAUGAAGAAAAAGAGAAGUAAUAGAGAAGAUCGCUUGCUAAAGUUUACACAAAAUACCUUUUCUGUAACGCAUGCAUCACAAAGGUAGCAGAAAUGCUGUGGAGCAGUAUAUUGGAUAUAUGAAAAUUUGGUUGGGAUGACCUGCAGCUUGUAAGCUCUUCAGGCCACAGACAGUUUCUCUCUGCAGUGCUCCUGAUUGCCACAGCAAUAAGAGAAGGAAAUAGUAAUUACUGUCUGCUGGGUUUUGUUCAUAAUAAUAAAUAGAUGUUGAAUUUUUCCUCAAGUGAACAAAACCACCAAGUCUCACUUUCAAAAAUCUUUGAUUUGAACUUUUAAUAUACACUUUUUAUGUGUACAUGUGAUUUCAGCUUGCAUCCUCAUAGAGGAUGUCUUGCAAGAACAGACUGGGGUUUAUUUGGUGAAACAUCAGCAUGUACUCCUAGUGCUGAACUGGGCCAUCAGAGAGCAAGCUACGGCUGCCCAGUCACAGUAGGGUGACUCUGUGUUGAUUAAAUUGAAGAGUAUUACUGCUAAAACCACUUCCCAAGUCUGCUCUCAUUCAUACUGAGUCUGAGCAAUGAUCUGAACUAAGUGACCACACUCCCUUGGAACAGAGAGACUGCUGCUGAAGGGAAUAGGAUUGUAUACCUAUAAGGUGCAAAGAGGGAUUUCUUCACCUCUACCUGCCUGAACCAAUCAAUGCAAAAUCACUCCUGAGAAGACCUCAGCACGUCAAUUUUGCAGGCAUUAAUGUGUUUUCCAAGCAAAACCUUGCAUCCGUUUCAAUUUUCCCCAAUACUAGUCUUGACGUGAGUUGUUUUGUGGUGGGUGUAAGUAGCACAACGUGUGAAUAUUAAAAAGUCAUCUCACAACAGGCAGAACUGUGUGAGGCACCACUGGUCAUCAGCAUGACAGACAUGUAGAAGGUCAAAAGAUCCAGAAGGACACUUACUAUUUAAAUUACUUUUGGAAUAGAGGUCAGGCAUACAGUUAUUCUGAAAAGAAAAUUGUCCAGACCCCAGGCUCUGAGCACUCUAGUCAUUCCUGUGUAAUGCCAGCACAAAUACCAGUUUGUCUCUAUAACCUAGAAAAUCUUCAACAUGUAGAAAUGGCAAAUAUACAAUGAGCCACUUUAUUCUGCAGUAUUUGCAAUACCUGAUGCCUUUGUCACUACCUCCUGGUAUUUUCUUAACAAGACUAUUUUAAAUAGAAAUUUACACAAGCUGUGUUUACCUGCUUAUGGAGGAGAUCUGGCCACAUGGUACCAGGUAAUGCCUGCUCUGCAAAGUGCUGCAGUAGGCUCCAGGUUUCUUCCAAGCAAAGUUCAGCCUUGGUUUUGACCAAGCUAUGCCAUUUGGGAUACUAGCUCUUCUUCGUGGACAGAGGAGCUGAAAACAUUUGACUACUUUGCUUAACUAGGCUCUUGGUAGAGCAAGCAUCAAAAAGGAAACCAAAGAACCUUCUUUGCUUACAGAGAUGCUGAAGGCCUUCUCAGUAGAUGUCUUACCUUUGGAGGUGUGCUAUCCAGACAGUGUGCUCAGUCCUCUGCAUGCAUGCACAGUCUUAUUCUUUACAUGUUCUUUACAUGAUCAAGGGUAGCCAUGGAGUGGCUGGAUUACCCACUUGGCUGACGUGUGCCUAGGUGAGACCAGAGGAGAUUAUGGUACUUCAGCCUACAGGAGGUACAAUUCUACUUGACGGUGGUCAAUGGAAAAAUUGAAACUUGUUUCUGUGAGAUUGAUACUACUUCAUUGUGUUUUCCUACAAUUACAGUCAAGAAGUUGUAUAUGGAGUUCUAUGAAUUUACAGCAAUGCUUAUAAAAAUGCAGCACUGCAAAAGUCAAGAGCUUUCAUUUCAGAAAAUUUUGUGUAAAUCUUGCCUAUUUUAUUAUUUUCUGUAGCUGCUCUCGAUUAAAAGUACAGCUUUACAGACUAAAACAUAUAGAAUUGAAGGAAGCCAGCAUAUGCUAUUUUAGUGAGUAUAUUAUCUAAAGUGGGCCUUCCAUCUGUUUCAGAACUAAUUAUUACAUCAUCUUUAUGUAGCUUGAUUUACAAUGAGUGAAUUAAAUGCUUAUGUGAGUGCUUCAUACAAUGUGAAACACAGCUGUGACAUUUUUAGAGGCAGAACAGGGCAAAAUGUUCUAGACACGCUGAAUUUCAUUUUUCUUCUGUUUACAAAAAUAUUCCUUUGUAGCAAAUAUUUUUCACACUCCCUUAGUAAUACACUAUUGUAUUUUGAAGAACCACAGAACAUCCAUUUGGAUUGCAAUAAAAUACUGAGUAUUUUUAUCUGCCAAAGAGAAGAUUUUGACUUUAGUGAUCAAAACAGCUAUCUCUAUUAAAAAAAAUUCAGAUCGUUCUUCCUAACCUAGCUGUUGCCAAACAAAGAUAGAUUAAGAUUAAUUGCAGUAAUUAAACAGAGGGACAGGGUACAGCAUUAGUAGGAGCAAUGUAUCACAUUCUCUGUUUCCAGAUACUUUAUUCAACAGGAAGACAGAAAAUCACAUGAGCUCUAGUCUAGGCUAUGUACAUUUUCUAUUAGCUGAUACUCAGUUACAAGGCAUGUGCAUAUAUAACUUACCAUAGCAUAUCUUUCUUUAAAAAAAUCACUUUAGCUGGUGAAAGCAAGCCAGAUUUAGAACAUAUUUCUUGAUGAUAUUAUAGCCCUUUAAAAUAGUUUAAUGUGAGCAUAUUUUUAACUUGCAUUUUUUGUUUUGGUGUUCAAAAUUUGACUGAUAAAUUUAAGUGAAAAGAGGUAGAAUAUAGAUUAGGGUCUAGCCAAGUCUCUUGUUGAAAAACAAAUAAGAAAUAUCCACCAUUUUCUUCAAACUUUUUCUCUAUGCAGUCUUUUUGGUGGUGGUGUUUUUUUGGUUGGUUGGUUGAUUGGUCUGCCUUAAAAGGCACUCUGCCUGAAGCCAGUUUUGGCCACAUUAAUGGGCUCAGGUUACAGUGUCACUGGGUUCGCAGCAGGACACUGCAAAUUAACUACAUUGCAUUUACAAGACUUGACCAUAUACCCAUCUAAAACCCCAACAUAUUGGUUGUUUCCACAGAAUAGAAGAUAAGGGACUGCCUCAUCUCCCCCAAACCAUAUCCUGACAGGAUGGAGGGAUAGAAUUAAAAAUCCUGCUUCUAUUUAGGAUAGUGGAAGGCACAUCAGCCAAUAGAGUAUGGGCUUAGCACAGCUCCUUUGCACCUCAGAAACUCCAGCUCUCCCAGCACACUUCUUCCCCACACCGCUAAUUACAAGAGCAGUCACUUCUUAGCAAGACAUAAGUUAUUUCAAUAAAUAAUAAUACUUUAAAAGUAUAAUUCCUCUUAUGUCCACUUCAGUGCAGCAUAAACACACCCUGUUUUGGCAGCAUUGGCACAGCUAACGGCUUAGUCAUUAGUCAAUAGAAGAGAAAUACACAGAUUAAGAAAUCAAUAGGCAGUUUUGCGGGCAGAAAGGAGCAGAAAAUAAACAGAGCCGUGUUCGAGAAAGCAAAUAUGUGCUUUUCUCAUUUAAGCUUUGAACUGGAGAGUCAACCUGAUGAUGGGAGGAAAAACACUAAGCAAAACUGGGCAGGGGGAAUGUAUCCCUUGCAAGUAAUUUCCCAUGAACAGUUGCCUGCUCUGACAUCUUUUGAUUGAGCUAUUUCUAGACCUAACCCUUUGCUUGUAAAUACUGAUGCUAAUCUUGUUUCAGAAAUGUUUCAGCUUGGCAAGACAUUAAUAAACACUGUCCCAGAAAAUGCUUGGAGUCCAGCCAUGCACAAAGCCUUGUUUUAAUAGAUGGAUCAGUGGUGGAGGUAGGUGAAGACCAGGAGAGGGAUUCUCAGAUUCCUUGGUGGUUUUUCAGACACAUUUUGACCCAGUAAAGACAUGGUUUGGCCUUUUAUAAAUAACUGCACAAGACAGAUUAGUUACUGUUAAUGCUCCUAGAAAACAAAAUUCAGUUCACAGACUGAAGUUCACUUGAUGGGAAAAUAAAUUUUGAAUUGGUGGAAAAAGCAGGCACCCUAUAAUGGUGGAGUCAUCUAGAAGGACAGCACAGUAAGGCAAGGGGAUAUCUCUUCACACUUGGGCUACAAGUUCUCUAAGCCUCCUUGUAGGAGUCUAAUCAUCAGGAACUAAUGUAUUCAAGAGGCACUCUUCAGAUGCUUUUGAAAACCGUAACAUAUAAGUCACUGUCUGUUAAAUAAGGAGCAAAUUACACUAAGUUGUCUCUUAUCACAAUGGAUGGUUAUUAUUAGUUGUUAAAAUAAAGAUUGGCAGCAUGUGCUAAACAACCACAGAUAGGUCCCCAGUGUUGUGGAAAGUUUAAUACAAACGCAAAAUAUGCUGAACAAAAGAGACAUAUUCAAGUCUAAGUAGCUUCCAAUCUGAGUAAUGCAUUAACAGGACAUAAAGAAAUGUUAUUUUCCUUAUUCAGUGCAUAGCCAUCAAUGAACAUUCACCAUAUAUCCCCGGCUAAAGGCCUUCUCACCCUUUAUGCCAGGUGAAGUAUAUUAAUAGCAACAAGUGUCACUGGAGGGAAGUGGUGAGCGGGUCCUUGUUAUAACCUGUUGUUGAUAAGAGUGAUCCCUGUCCAGCUGAAGAGUGAGCCUCAGCCGCCAAACAAAUUGCUUUUGUUUGAUCUUGCUACUGCAGCCAUGUAGGGAAAGGUGCCAAGUACAAUUUAGAAGUAGCCUUUAAAUAGUGGAUAGCUAUCAUGAGAGGUUGCUCUGAGUGAAAACAACACACACUGGGGGGUUUCCUGAUGUGGGAAGGCUUACUGUCUUCUAACACAAGAUGAUGAAUAUAGCAUUCAUAAUUGAAGAAAAGCUUAGGUUCUCUUUUGGCUCAGGCAGUAUCUGAAUUGUGGUCUACUUGUUUGCCUGUGACAUCCUGCAGUCUGUAUUAACAAAAAAUAUAUAUCUCUUGAAUUGCACUGAGAUAGUAAAAGCCUCACACACAAUCUGGCAGGGACCAUGUUCACCUCCCCCUUUCAUAGCUUUUCCUUAGGUUCUUACAACCAGCAGAAUGUUUAUGGAAACAUAUUAAGAAAUACAUUAUUAGCAAUACAGACUUUAAUGUCAUGAUUCUGCUUCAUUCUGUUGAAAAUAUAAAUAUAUUUCAGCAUCAAAGUCAAUAACUCAUUACAGAAGUCACCAUCUAGUGGUAUCUAAGAACACGUACUGCUGUUAUUCAAGUUUAGAGGUGGUUUUAGGGACUCAAAAUAAUGUCUUCAGUUCUGCUCAGGAUGAAUUACUGUAAUUCAAGCUAGCCUCUCAGUUAAUAUAUAUAUGGUAUAUAAUAUCAUAAUAUUUAAUAAUGCAUUUUAUGUAUUAUAUAUGCAUGUAUUAAUAUAUUAGUAUCUAUAUUUUAAGCAAAUCUGGUGUUACUCAGAGCAAAACUUCAUUCAAAUAAAGCUUUAAUUCAUGUAUUUAAAAUUAUGGUGCACAUCAGUGAAAAAAACCAUCUGCUUUUAGCCUUCUUCUCUUCUUUUUAUUCAUUUAUAUGCGUUGCAUCUCUUUAUGUGCAUCUAUAGCUAUACAUACAUCUUUAACCAAGGCUCCACAGCAUACCCUUGAAGGCGUCUGUAUUUCUAACUAGCCAGCUGAGUUGCAGAGAGAAACUCGUGGUUAACUAGUACUACUCUAUAACUGCUGGAACAAGUGACAUCUCCCCCACUGCAGCUAUCUGUUCAGAGGGAAAGCUAUUAGGACUGACAAAGAGAAGCUCAUUCUUGCUCAUUAUAUUUAGAGCCCUUACAGAUGAGGCAAUUUUUCACUCUUCUCAGUUGUGAUAAAAACUGAGGACAAAUACAGCAUUAUAUGCUAUUCUGCUAUAUCUAAAAAUGUUCUGAAUUUAUUUAUCCUUCAGGUAAAGCUGUAUGCAAGCCAGCAGUCUUCCCCCCCCUCCCCCAGUCUACCUUUCUUAUCUGCAUUUAUAUUUAGCAUUAUCACUGAGCCAAAUCUUUGAGACCUCAUUUGACUUCUUACCCAAUCUUUCUUCUUGCAUUAGUCACCAUAUGAGAUUUGUCUGACUAAGAACUAAAUUAAGACUUCACACAGAGGAUGUGCACUAGAACUUCUUGAUGAAAAAA